UACGAAGGGUGCAAACGUUGCUCGGAAUUAUUGGGCGUAAAGGGCUCGUAGACGGCCAACUAAGUCAGACGUGAAAUCCCUCGGCUUAACCGGGGAACUGCGUCUGAUACUGGUUGGCUUGAGUGUGGGAGAGGGAUGCGGAAUUCCAGGUGUAGCGGUGAAAUGCGUAGAUAUCUGGAGGAACACCGGUGGCGAAGGCGGCAUCCUGGACCAUUACUGACGCUGAGGAGCGAAAGCCAGGGGAGCAAACGGG
rnacentral:rRNA from 1 species